UGUGUGUGUGUGUGUGUGUGUGUGUGUGUGUGUGUGAGUGUGAGUGAGUGAGUGAGAGAUAUAUAUACACACACACACACACACACACAUAUACAUA